UACAGAGGGUGCUAGCGUUGUUCGGAAUCAUUGGGCGUAAAGGGCGUGUAGGCGGUUUGUUAAGUCAUGUGUGAAAUCCCUCGGCUCAACCGGGGAACGACGCAUGAAACUGGCAAGCUAGAGUACCAAAGAGGGGGGUGGAAUUCCCGGUGUAGCGGUGAAAUGCGUAGAUAUCUGGAGGAAUACCGGUGGCGAAGGCGGCAUCCUGGACCGGCAUUGACGCUGAACGGCGAAAGCUAGGGGAGCAAACGGG
rnacentral:rRNA from 1 species